rnacentral:rRNA from 1 species
CAGCAGCCGCGGGAAUACGGAGGGAGCUAGCGUUGUUCGGAAUUACUGGGCGUAAAGCGCGCGUAGGCGGUUACUCAAGUCAGAGGUGAAAGCCCGGGGCUCAACCCCGGAACUGCCUUUGAAACUAGGUGACUAGAAUCUUGGAGAGGUUAGUGGAAUUCCGAGUGUAGAGGUGAAAUUCGUAGAUAUUCGGAAGAACACCAGUGGCGAAGGCGACUGACUGGACAAGUAUUGACGCUGAGGUGCGAAAGCGUGGGGAGCAAACAGGAUUAGAUACCCGCGUAGUCCCUGUCUCUUAUAC